AUUGAACGCUCGCGGCAGGCUUAACACAUGCACGUCGAACGAGUGGCGGACGGGUGAGUAAUGCUUGGGAAUCUGGCUUAUGGAGGGGGAUAACUACUGGAAACGGUAGCUAAUACCGCAUACCAUACGAUGUGCCCAGAUGGGAUUAGCUAGUAGGUGGGGUAACGGCUCACCUAGGCGACGAUCCCUAGCUGGUCUGAGAGGAUGACCAGCCACACUGGAACUGAGACACGGUCCAGACUCCUACGGGAGGCAGCAGUGGGGAAUAUUGCACAAUGGGCGCAAGCCUGAUGCAGCCAUGCCGCGUGUGUGAAGAAGGCCUUCGGGUUGUAAAGCACUUUCAGCGGGGAGGCGUUACCCGCAGAAGAAGCACCGGCUAACUCCGUGCCAGCCGCCGCGGUAAUUC
rnacentral:rRNA from 1 species